rnacentral:lncRNA from 1 species
UUAACCUUCAAAUUCAUCUUCUUCUAUGGAGCUAGCGCCUGCCUGAGCCUGAUCCAAGACCUGCGCUCAUCAGACACACUGCGAGAGGCUGUGAACCUGCAGCAAUAUCCGACCGCCUCCAUCUUCAGCUAUGCCCACCCGCCUGCACCCCAUGCUCAGCGUAUGCUCCCAAUCCUUGGUGCUUUUCUGAGGUGAAACCCAGAUGCCCAAAAUGUUGAUGCCCAACUCCUUUUGAAGAGGUUGGCAGAGGAGACGAGUCAAAGCCUUCCUUCGGAGCUUGGAGGAGUCAAGCUAAGGCUUCCCGCUGCCCCCAAAGGGCAUUCCCACAGCRAGGAGUGGUUUGAAGGGGGGUGGCUGGGCUUUCCACACCUGGAGCAGUGAGAAGAGUCUCCCCUGGCAGGUCCGUUCAGUAUGCUGCCAUGCUGGCCACCGCCUUAUCCCGGCCCACCAGAGGAACCUCCRCCCUACUCUGAAGUGGACGCAGCCAGCCCAGGGGAGAACCCAGUGCACAGUUGCUGCUGCAGCAUCCUGAAGGGAGGACAGGAGGACAGACCGAACUGAGGACUCGGCGUGGAAAUKUACAGGCACCGACUCACCCCCUGCUUUUCCCUCCGCAGCAGGACUCAGCCA